CCUACGGGAGGCAGCAGUAGGGAAUUUUGCGCAAUGGGCGCAAGCCUGAAGCAGCAACGCCGCGUGAUCGAGACGCCCUUCGGGGUGUAAAAAUCUUUCAGUGGGGACGAAACUUGACGGUACCCACCGACGAAUCACCGGCUAACUCCGUGCCAGCAGCCGCGGUAAUACGGGGGGGGCAAGCGUUGUCCGGAGUCAUUGGGCGUAAAGCGUUCGUAGGCGGCAUGUAAGGUCUGGUGGUAAAGGAAGAGGCUCAACUUCGGUACGGCACUGGAAACUUGCGAGCUAGAGUGAGGUAGAGGUAAAGGGAAUUCGUGGUGUAGCGGUGAAAUGCUUAGAUAUCAGGAGGAACAUCGGUGGCGUAGGCAGUUUACUGGGCCGUAAUUGACGCUGAGGAACGAAAGCGAGGGUAGCAAAUGGGAUUAGAUACCCUUGUAGUC
rnacentral:rRNA from 1 species